CUACUCUCCUUGGAUUCAAGGCUAGGAUAUUACAUGCCAUUAAAUAAGGCAUAUAAAAAGGAGAAAACCAAAGAUAAAACAGCCUCUGUGUAUGGGUGGAUCUCUGAAUUUAAAAAAUGUGAAUGCCAACAAAGUUGUUGAGGAUGGUACAGAGGGUAUUGUUGCGUUCCCAAGGAGCCAUCUGUCAUUUUCAGUUUUGAUACUGAGAUCCUUUUGGAAAAAAAUUAAUACUAGCAAAAUCCCUCCUGGGCUUCUGAAACAUUCCUUCCUUUUAGAGGUCAAAACUCAGCUUGAGGCCCUAAGGCUUCAUGUGGGGGAGAGACUUCAUGUGGACCCUCCUCUUGGACCAGCUGGUGUCUGGUGAUGGCUGUGGAGGACCGGCUUGCAGAUGUGCAGAGUUGGCUGAAUUUCAGGACUGGACUGAGUGAGAGUACAGAACUUGGAGAACUUUGUGAAAACAAGCUACUGUAGCUGACUUGCCAGCUUGGUUACACAUGCUCUGAAGAUGGGUGGAGUCCAGAUUCCUGGCUGCUUGAAGAGGCCACAUCCUGUUAGCUGCACAAUCUUCAUGCUAUUGGCCACUGUGAAGAUGAAUGUACUCCUGGGGUGUCUCAGAACAUUCUUUACCUCUGGAGGAUUCUUGUGUACAAGGGAGAGUAUCCAAAAUGCUUUCAGAAUAUAGAAGUCAGUUGGAAAUUUCUUGGGAAAUGUCAUUGAAAAAUGAUGUGUCAGGCAGUUUAAUUCUGGAGGAGAAUCAGCAUAAAGGCUUUGUUAUGUUGCAGUUUGUCAGAGGAAUAUACAAGGAAGGUGCAGGUCUGUUCCUUGGGCUGUUUAUAAAACACAAAGAUGAUGAAUGAUCAUGUCUUGAUUUGUAUAUUAAAGGAGGUCUAUUGCUACUUCCCUGGGCCAUCAUCUACCACUGAAGGCAGAGAAAAUAUAUCAUUUUAAAGCUAUAUUUGAUGUGUAUUAUUCUAAUAGUAUGGUACUUGCCUUCUCUCUCUUUUGUCAUGGGAGUCUUCAAGAAACUUUUGAAGCCCCACAAAUGCACACUAUUUAGCUUUCCCCCUUAAACCAUACACAUAAUUGGGUAGGGAGGCCCCAUUUUGGAAUCAGGAAAUAAAGAGUGACCUGAUUUUCUCUCCACCACCACCAGCCUUAAGGACAUGGUACAACUGUACCCCAAUUUCACUCUACUCUCAUAGGCCCUGGCCAGAGCAGUUCAGGCCAGGCUCUGAAUUUGCCUGAGUGAAAAAAACUUAGUCUUUGGACAGUUUCAGGCAUGGCUAUGUUUCAUUUUCAGAAAGAGGUCAUGUAUUCACAGUACAGGCUUUCAGCAUUUGCCAAAGUUCAACUCCAGUAUUUUAAAAUUGAAAGGUUACUCUGCUUCACAGUUAUGUAUGGUUCAAGUCUGCGCUCCUUACUCAGCCAAAGCUCCCUCUGGAGUAAAUGGCAGGGGUUUUUUUAAAUAAAGACUGACAGACCUUAUCCUUAAUUAAUUAGUCAAGGCUGACAUUUAUGAGAAUCACUGGUAUCUGGUGUACCAAAGGACUUAGGUUCAUAUCCCUGGGGUGCAGCAGCAUAUAAACCUGUUUCAUUACAACCACUAGCGAUGACAGUUUUUCUCUUUAAUACAACUCAUUACUUUGUGGGAAAAUACUAAAGACCAGUGAUAUGGGCUGCAAUUAAAAGAAAAAAAAAUACAACUCUCUAAACAGUAACAGCCCAACAACAAUUUCUGCUUAUUGUACUUUAUGGUUAGUAGGCACCUACCAUAUUAAAUUGUGUGUAUGGCAUUCACAAUUCUGUGAACCUCCUUCUCUCGCAAUAUCCAUUUGAAUGACACAAAGCAUGGUGGAGACCAUUUUAUACAGUUAUUAUUGGGCUAUCAUUUUAAGAGUAAGGAGGUUACUAUAAGAGUGUUUGUAGGGAUUUGUGCUGAUUACCAAGAGGAAGUAGACAAAGUCUUUCCAUUUUCUAUUUCCUUUCUGGGAGAAAGCAAUAGUGUAGGGCUUAGCCAGUCCAGUACAUGCUUAAUUGUUGUUCUUCUUUCUGUAGGUGGGUCAAUAACCAAGCAAGGAUAUGAGAGAAACUAAUCCUCAAAAAUGAUGCUGCAAUUGUCCAUACAGUAGUGUGAGGGACUUUAUGCAGAUGGAAUAAGCCACUGAGUAACAUACAGAUUUUGUGAGAUGUUAUGUGAGAUAUCACCUGCUACUGCUUUGCCAUGAGAGACACUCUGACACUUAGGUCCGUAGCCAAGUCCACUUUUAUUGCAUAAGUAACACUUACACAUCUUACAAACCCUGCCCUGCCUGGCCUCAGCCCUCAAAGUCACCCCAAUCCCUGCCACCCCACCUCAUAGUUUAAAAAAAACAAAAGACAAACCCCAGCACUUACCAUCAGUGUGGCUGCUGUCUGUCUCACUGAGGCCCCACCCGCACACUUCAGGGUAGAGGAACAGCCCCAGCAGCCCCAGCUCAGGCCCUCCUGCCCCACUGCCCUGUGCUGCCCAGGGGGGCUCUGCCAGGAGGCCCUGGAGCCACCCCUCACCCCUGCUUCUUUGGGCUUUUUCCCCUUGCUUUAUCCAUCAUGUAUUUCUCUGGGUCCCUAUUCUCUUCUCUUCAUUCCCUCACCCUGUAUCACAGAAGGAACUGAAGCCAUGGAUUGAAACAGAGGGUGAAGGAAGAUCAUCAUGGAGAAAAGGAAAGUGGCCAGAGAAUGGGAGAGAAUCCAGGAGAGAAACUGUCAGCUGCAAAUUCCUCAAAGACAGACACGCAGAAGAAAUGAAGAUGGUGAACUAAUGCUGCAUUUACCCUUUCUCCUAUAGCCAGAAGGCACAGUCAUAGCUGGGGAUAUUGAAGAACUAGAGGUACCCAAAGGGCAGCUCUCUUUGGAGAUCUGUGGUUUGGCAUUUGGAUUUUCUGCCGUCUUGGCUUUCAUGGGUCUUCAUGGCCCCACACUCUGCCUAAACUUUAUCCCCAUCAAGAGGUUACAUAGAAACCACAGCCCACUCAGAGCUGCUGCAUUCUGGAACACAUUGUUCCUUUCUGAGACGUUUGGCAGAGGACAAGAACAAAGGAGUCAUGAUUAUUGCUAAUUAUCUUGUAACCAAAUAAGAGCAGUUUCUUAGUUAUUUCUGUCAUAUAUAUACCUAUGGAUCUCUAUAUAUGUGUGUAUGUAUGUAUGUAUGUGUGUGUGAGAUUAUUCUGGUCAAGCACAUGAAAUCCAAGGAAUUGUGCCUUCUUCAGGAAUCAUCAGCGAGCUGUCCAUUGUCCAGUUUGUGUGUCAGUGGGAAAGAAUUGUUUCCCUUUUUUUUUUUU